GCCCUUGUGGAUCAGUGGCAGAUCAUCUUCAAUUAAUAGCGUAAACAUCUCUAUAUUUAUGAAGAGGACGUAGGUUCGACUCCUACCCAGGGCA